UACCAGCUCUCCGAGUGGUGUGGAUGUUUAUUGGGCCUAAAGUAUCCGUAGCUGGCUGGGCAAGUCCCCUGUUAAAUCCACCGAUUUAAUCGUUGGUGUGCGGGGGAUACUGUUCGGCUAGGGGACGGGAGAGGCCGACGGUAUUUUCGGGGUAGGGGUGAAAUCCUAUAAUCCCGGGAAGACCACCAGUGGCGAAGGCUGUCGGCUAGAACGCGCCCGACGGUGAGGGAUGAAAGCUGGGGGAGCGGACCGGAUUAGAUACCCGGGUAGUCCCAGCUGUAAACGAUGCAGGCUAGGUGUUUGGGCGGCCACGUGCCGCUCUAGUGCCGCAGAGAAGUCGUUAAGCCUGCCGCCUGGGGAGUACGGCCGCAAGGCUGAAACUUAAAGGAAUUGGCGGGGAGCACCACAAGGGGUGAAGCUUGCGGUUU
rnacentral:rRNA from 1 species